rnacentral:rRNA from 1 species
AGUGAACGCUGGCGGUAGGCCUAACACAUGCAAGUCGAACGGCAGCACAGUAAGAGCUUGCUCUUAUGGGUGGCGAGUGGCGGACGGGUGAGGAAUACAUCGGAAUCUACCUUUUCGUGGGGGAUAACGUAGGGAAACUUACGCUAAUACCGCAUACGACCUUCGGGUGAAAGCAGGGGACCUUCGGGCCUUGCGCGGAUAGAUGAGCCGAUGUCGGAUUAGCUAGUUGGCGGGGUAAAGGCCCACCAAGGCGACGAUCCGUAGCUGGUCUGAGAGGAUGAUCAGCCACACUGGAACUGAGACACGGUCCAGACUCCUACGGGAGGCAGCAGUGGGGAAUAUUGGACAAUGGGCGCAAGCCUGAUCCAGCCAUACCGCGUGGGUGAAGAAGGCCUUCGGGUUGUAAAGCCCUUUUGUUGGGAAAGAAAAGCAGUCGAUUAAUACUCGGUUGUUCUGACGGUACCCAAAGAAUAAGC